rnacentral:rRNA from 1 species
CCCUAUAGAAUUUUAUUUAAAUAAUUAUUUAUUUAAAUUAUUUUUGAAUAUAUAAUUAAUUUAAAUUUGAUUGGGAGGAUUGGUAAAUAAAAAUAACUUUAUCUAAAAAUUAAUUUUGAUGAAAAGAUUUAUUUUUGACUUAUAAUUUAUGAUUAAAAGAAUAAAUUACCUUAGGGAUAACAGCGUAAUAUCUUUUGAUAGACCACAUUGAUAAAGAUGUUUGCGACCUCGAUGUUGAAUUAAGAGAAAAGUUAAACGCAGGAGUUUAAAAUUUUAAGUCUGUUCG